rnacentral:rRNA from 1 species
GAUGAACGCUGGCGGCGUGCCUAAUACAUGCAAGUCGAGCGAAUGGAUUAAGAGCUUGCUCUUAUGAAGUUAGCGGCGGACGGGUGAGUAACACGUGGGUAACCUGCCCAUAAGACUGGGAUAACUCCGGGAAACCGGGGCUAAUACCGGAUAACAUUUUGAACCGCAUGGUUCGAAAUUGAAAGGCGGCUUCGGCUGUCACUUAUGGAUGGACCCGCGUCGCAUUAGCUAGUUGGUGAGGUAACGGCUCACCAAGGCCACGAUGCGUAGCCGACCUGAGAGGGGGAUCGGCCACACUGGGACUGAGACACGGCCUAGACUCCUACGGGAGGCAGCAGUAGGGAAUCUUCCGCAAUGGACGAAAGCCUGACGGAGCAACGCCGCGUGAGUGAUGAAGGCUUUCGGGUCGUAAAACUCUGUUGUUAGGGAAGAACAAGUGCUAGUUGAAUAAGCUGGCACCUUGACGGUACCUAACCAGAAAGCCACGGCUAACUACGUGCCAGCCGCCGCAGUAA